CAGUCGCCGCGGUAAUACGUAGGUGGCAAGCGUUGUCCGGAAUUAUUGGGCGUAAAGGGCUCGCAGGCGGUUUCUUAAGUCUGAUGUGAAAGCCCCCGGCUCAACCGGGGAGGGUCAUUGGAAACUGGGAAACUUGAGUGCAGAAGAGGAGAGUGGAAUUCCACGUGUAGCGGUGAAAUGCGUAGAGAUGUGGAGGAACACCAGCGGCGAAGGCGACUCUCUGGUCUGUAACUGACGCUGAGGAGCGAAAGCGUGGGGAGCGAACAGGAUUAGAUACCCGCGUAGUCCCUGUCUCUUAUCC
rnacentral:rRNA from 1 species